CUGCUUUGCUGGCGACCGGCGCACGGGUGAGUAACACGUAUCCAACCUGCCCUUUACUCGGGGAUAGCCUUUCGAAAGAAAGAUUAAUACCCGAUAGCAUAAUGAUUCCGCAUGGUUUCAUUAUUAAAGGAUUCCGGUAAAGGAUGGGGAUGCGUUCCAUUAGGUUGUUGGUGGGGUAACGGCCCACCAAGCCUUCGAUGGAUAGGGGUUCUGAGAGGAAGGUCCCCCACAUUGGAACUGAGACACGGUCCAA
rnacentral:rRNA from 1 species